GAUGAACGCUGGCGGCGUGCCUAAUACAUGCAAGUCGAGCGAACGGACGAGAAGCUUGCUUCUCUGAUGUUAGCGGCGGACGGGUGAGUAACACGUGGAUAACCUACCCAUAAGACUGGGAUAACUUCGGGAAACCGGGGCUAAUACCGGAUAAUAUUUUGAACCGCAUGGUUCAAAAGUGAAAGACGGUCUUGCUGUCACUUAUGGAUGGAUCCGCGCUGCAUUAGCUAGUUGGUAAGGUAACGGCUUACCAAGGCAACGAUGCAUAGCCGACCUGAGAGGGUGAUCGGCCACACUGGAACUGAGACACGGUCCAGACUCCUACGGGAGGCAGCAGUAGGGAAUCUUCCGCGAUGGGCGAAAGCCUGACGGAGCAACGCCGCGUGAGUGAUGAAGGUCUUCGGAUCGUAAAACUCUGUUAUUAGGGAAGAACAUAUGUGUAAGUAACUGUGCACAUCUUGACGGUACCUAAUCAGAAAGCCACGGCUAACUACGUGCCAGCAGCCGCGGUAAUACGUAGGUGGCAAGCGUUAUCCGGAAUUAUUGGGCGUAAAGCGCGCGUAGGCGGUUUUUUAAGUCUGAUGUGAAAGCCCACGGCUCAACCGUGGAGGGUCAUUGGAAACUGGAAAACUUGAGUGCAGAAGAGGAAAGUGGAAUUCCAUGUGUAGCGGUGAAAUGCGCAGAGAUAUGGAGGAACACCAGUGGCGAAGGCGACUUUCUGGUCUGUAACUGACGCUGAUGUGCGAAAGCGUGGGGAUCAAACAGGAUUAGAUACCCUGGUAGUCCACGCCGUAAACGAUGAGUGCUAAGUGUUAGGGGGUUUCCGCCCCUUAGUGCUGCAGCUAACGCAUUAAGCACUCCGCCUGGGGAGUACGACCGCAAGGUUGAAACUCAAAGGAAUUGACGGGGACCCGCACAAGCGGUGGAGCAUGUGGUUUAAUUCGAAGCAACGCGAAGAACCUUACCAAAUCUUGACAUCCUUUGACAACUCUAGAGAUAGAGCCUUCCCCUUCGGGGGACAAAGUGACAGGUGGUGCAUGGUUGUCGUCAGCUCGUGUCGUGAGAUGUUGGGUUAAGUCCCGCAACGAGCGCAACCCUUAAGCUUAGUUGCCAUCAUUAAGUUGGGCACUCUAAGUUGACUGCCGGUGACAAACCGGAGGAAGGUGGGGAUGACGUCAAAUCAUCAUGCCCCUUAUGAUUUGGGCUACACACGUGCUACAAUGGACAAUACAAAGGGCAGCGAAACCGCGAGGUCAAGCAAAUCCCAUAAAGUUGUUCUCAGUUCGGAUUGUAGUCUGCAACUCGACUACAUGAAGCUGGAAUCGCUAGUAAUCGUAGAUCAGCAUGCUACGGUGAAUACGUUCCCGGGUCU
rnacentral:rRNA from 1 species